rnacentral:piRNA from 1 species
CCGAGUGCUGGGAUUAAAGGUGUGUG